UGACUGAAGUCACAGGUCCACCUACUGAA
rnacentral:piRNA from 1 species